rnacentral:rRNA from 1 species
UCAUAAUGAAUCCUGCGAGUUGUGGUAUCUGGCAAGGUUAAGCACACGCGAAGCCGUAGCGAAAGCGAGUCUGAAAGGGCGCUUAGUCAGAUGCUGCAGACCCGAAGCCAAGUGAUCUAUCCAUGGCCAAGUUGAAGUAAGUGUAAUAGCUUAUGGAGGACUGAACUCGUACCCAUUGAAACGGGUUGGGAUGAGCUGUGGAUAGGGGUGAAAGGCCAAACAAACUUGGUGAUAGCUGGUUCUCUUCGAAAUAUAUUUAGGUAUAGCCUCAAGUGAUAGCAACAGGGGGUAGAGCUCUGAUUGGGCUAGGGCUGCUCACCGCGGUACCAAACCCUGUCAAACUUCGAAUACCUGUUGCCGUAUCUUGGGAGUCAGGCGGUGGGUGAUAAAAUCAAUCGUCAAGAGGGAAACAACCCAGACUACCAGCUAAGGUCCCAAAGUUCUAUUCUAAGUGGAAAAUGAUGUGAAGUUACUCAGACAACCAGGAGGUUGGCUUAGAAGCAGCCAUCCUUUAAAGAAAGCGUAACAGCUCACUGGUCUAGUGAUUUUGCGCAGAAAAUAUAACGGGGCUAAGAUAGACACCGAAGCUGUAGAUUGUACUUUGUACAGUGGUAGAAGAGCGUUCGUAUCAGCGUUGAAGGUAUACCGGUAAGGAGUGCUGGAGCGAUGCGAAGUGAGCAUGCAGGAAUGAGUAGCGAUAAAAUAUGUGAGAAUCAUAUUCGCCGUAAAUCUAAGGUUUCCUACGCUAUGCUCGUCAUCGUAGGGUUAGUCGGGUCCUAAGACAAGUCAGAAAUGGGUAGUCGAUGGAAAAUAGGUUAAUAUUCCUAUACCAACCAUUGCGCGCGAUGGGGGGACGCAUAGGGUUAAGCGAGCCAGCUGAUGGAAGUGCUGGUCUAAGGGCGUAGAUUGGAGGAUAGGCAAAUCCGCCUCUGUAUUCGAAACUUGAAAGGCUCUUUGAAGUUCUCGGACGGAAAAGAGAAUCGCUGAUGCCGUCGUGCCAAGAAAAGCCUCUAAGUUUAGUAAUGGUUGCCCGUACCGUAAACCGACACAGGUAGAUGAGAUGAGUAUUCUAAGGCGCGUGAAAGAACUCUGGUUAAGGAACUCUGCAAACUAGCACCGUAAGUUCGCGAUAAGGUGUGCCUACGAAAGUAGGUCUCAGCAAAGAGUCCCUCCCGACUGUUUACCAAAAACACAGCACUUUGCAAACUCGUAAGAGGAAGUAUAAGGUGUGACGCCUGCCCGGUGCUCGAAGGUUAAGAGGAUUAGUCAGUAGCAAUACGAAGCUUUGAAUUGAAGCCCGAGUAAACGGCGGCCGUAACUAUAACGGUCCUAAGGUAGCGAAAUUCCUUGUCGGUUAAAUACCGACCUGCAUGAAUGGCGUAACGAGAUGGAGC